GAUGAACGCUGGCGGCGUGCCUAAUACAUGCAAGUCGAGCGAACGGACGAGAAGCUUGCUUCUCUGAUGUUAGCGGCGGACGGGUGAGUAACACGUGGAUAACCUACCUAUAAGACUGGGAUAACUUCGGGAAACCGGAGCUAAUACCGGAUAAUAUUUUGAACCGCAUGGUUCAAAAGUGAAAGACGGUCUUGCUGUCACUUAUAGAUGGAUCCGCGCUGCAUUAGCUAGUUGGUAAGGUAACGGCUUACCAAGGCAACGAUGCAUAGCCGACCUGAGAGGGUGAUCGGCCACACUGGAACUGAGACACGGUCCAGACUCCUACGGGAGGCAGCAGUAGGGAAUCUUCCGCAAUGGGCGAAAGCCUGACGGAGCAACGCCGCGUGAGUGAUGAAGGUCUUCGGAUCGUAAAACUCUGUUAUUAGGGAAGAACAUAUGUGUAAGUAACUGUGCACAUCUUGACGGUACCUAAUCAGAAAGCCACGGCUAACUACGUGCCAGCAGCCGCGGUAAUACGUAAGUGGCAAGCGUUAUCCGGAAUUAUUGGGCGUAAAGCGCGCGUAGGCGGGUUUUUAAGUCUGAUGGGAAAGCCCACCGCUCAACCGUUGGAGGGUCAUUGGAAACUGGAAAACUUGAGUGCAGAAGAGGAAAGUGGAAUUCCAUGUGUAGCGGUGAAAUGGGCAGAGAUAUGGAGGAACACCAGUGGGGAAGGGCGACUUUCUGGUCUGUAACUGACGCUGAUGUGCGAAAGCGUGGGGAUCAAACAGGAUUAGAUACCCUGGUAGUCCACGCCGUAAACGAUGAGUGCUAAGUGUUAGGGGGUUUCCGCCCCUUAGUGCUGCAGCUAACGCAUUAAGCACUCCGCCUGGGGAGUACGACCGCAAGGUUGAAACUCAAAGGAAUUGACGGGGACCCGCACAAGCGGUGGAGCAUGUGGUUUAAUUCGAAGCAACGCGAAGAACCUUACCAAAUCUUGACAUCCUUUGACAACUCUAGAGAUAGAGCUUUCCCCUUCGGGGGACAAAGUGACAGGUGGUGCAUGGUUGUCGUCAGCUCGUGUCGUGAGAUGUUGGGUUAAGUCCCGCAACGAGCGCAACCCUUAAGCUUAGUUGCCAUCAUUAAGUUGGGCACUCUAAGUUGACUGCCGGUGACAAACCGGAGGAAGGUGGGGAUGACGUCAAAUCAUCAUGCCCCUUAUGAUUUGGGCUACACACGUGCUACAAUGGACAAUACAAAGGGCAGCGAAACCGCGAGGUCAAGCAAAUCCCAUAAAGUUGUUCUCAGUUCGGAUUGUAGUCUGCAACUCGACUACAUGAAGCUGGAAUCGCUAGUAAUCGUAGAUCAGCAUGCUACGGUGAAUACGUUCCCGGGUCU
rnacentral:rRNA from 1 species